GGGGAAUAUUGGACAAUGGGCGCAAGCCUGAUCCAGCCAUGCCGCGUGAGUGAUGAAGGCCCUAGGGUUGUAAAGCUCUUUCACCGGAGAAGAUAAUGACGGUAUCCGGAGAAGAAGCCCCGGCUAACUUCGUGCCAGCAGCCGCGGUAAUACGAAGGGGGCUAGCGUUGUUCGGAAUUACUGGGCGUAAAGCGCACGUAGGCGGACAUUUAAGUCAGGGGUGAAAUCCCGGGGCUCAACCCCGGAACUGCCUUUGAUACUGGGUGUCUGGAGUAUGGAAGAGGUAAGUGGAAUUCCGAGUGUAGAGGUGAAAUUCGUAGAUAUUCGGAGGAACACCAGUGGCGAAGGCGGCUUACUGGUCCAUUACUGACGCUGAGGUGCGAAAGCGUGGGGAGCAAAC
rnacentral:rRNA from 1 species